rnacentral:rRNA from 1 species
CACCUGUUCCCAUGCCGAACACAGAAGUUAAGCUCUUUAGCGCCGAUGGUAGUUGGGCUUACGUUCCGCGAGAGUAGGACGUUGCCGGGC